rnacentral:tRNA from 1 species
GAUGUGUAACUCAGUUGGUCAGAGUAGCGGUCUCUUAAACCGAAGGUCGAGGGUUCGAAUCCCUUUACAUCC